UGCGUAGGCGGCGUCAUAAGUCAGGGGUGAAAGCCCACAGCUCAACUGCGGAAUUGCCUUUGAUACUGUGGUGCUUGAAUCAGGUUGAGGUAGGCGGAAUGUGGCAUGUAGCGGUGAAAUGCUUAGAUAUGCCAUAGAACACCGAUUGCGAAGGCAGCUUACUGGACCUGCAUUGACGCUGAGGCACGAAAGCGUGGGGAGCGAACAGGAUUAGAUACCCUGGUAGUCC
rnacentral:rRNA from 1 species